rnacentral:rRNA from 1 species
AAUGAACGCUGGCGGCAGGCCUAAAACAUGCAAGUCGAACGCCUGUAGCAAUACAGGAGUGGCGCACAGGUGCGUAACACGUGGGAAUAUGCCUAUUGGUACGGAACAGCUCCGGGAAACUGGAAUUAAUACCGUAUGGUCCCUUCGGGGUAAAGAUUUAUCGCCAAUAGAUUAGCCCGCGGUGGAUUAGCUAGUUGGUAGGGUAAUGGCCUACCAAGGCGACGAUCCAUAGCUGGUCUGAGAGGACGAUCAGCCACACUGGGACUGAGACACGGCCCAGACUCCUACGGGAGGCAGCAGUUAGGAAUAUUGGACAAUGGGCGCAAGCUUGAUCCAGCCAUGCCGCGUGAGUGAUGAAGGUCUUCGGGUUGUAAAACUCUUUAGCCGAUGAAUAUAAUGACUGUAGUCGGAAAAUAAGCCCCGGCUAACUUCGUGCCAGCCGCCGCAGUAA